AUUUUCUGCUUUCCUGGGGCCUCCUCCCUCUCUCCGCGAGGCGCGUUCCAGGGAAGGGGAAGCAAAAGCAGCCCCUCCCGGGCGGGCCGGCGAGGGUGGCGAGGGUGGCCCGGCUGCCCGGCCCCUCCCCUGCGCUCUCCGCGCCACCCCCGCCCCGGCGGCCGGAUGGGUUUUUCCAUGACUGACGCGGCCGCAGGCCGCCUUUGUUCCCGCCGUCCCCGUCGGUGCCUGCGAGGGGCCCGCCUCCCCUACGCGCCGGGGUUUUUCCAGGGUUCAAUUGGAGCAUGGCGAAGCCGGCCCCCCGCCCUCGGCCCUCCGCGCGUCCGGGCCUGAGCGGCGCUCCCAGCUGCCGCGUUACCCCUGCCCCCGCCGCUCGGGCCAGCGGACUCGGAGCCCCACACUGAUGCACCCUUGGCGAGGCGCGGUCCGAUCCCGAGGACGGCCCCGGGCUACCCGUGGGGGGGCGGGGGCCAGGCGGGGGCGGUGUUUGCAGACCGCGAGCCCGGGUGGCCUCUGCCUCCGGGUGACGGAAGGGCGUCAGUUUCUCCCAAGGGGCGGGCGGCGUAGUGGGGCUGUGGGAGGCGGGGGCAGCCCCCAUUGCGGAGGGGGCCCCACGCGCGCGCGCAGCUCCGGGGCGGAACGCGGGGUGGAACCGGCUCCCACCCCCACUGGAAAGUGAAGCACCCCGGCAGAAAGCGCCAGGGCCCGGGGCUGUCCCCGCGCUCCCGAAUCCCUCCCGCCGUCGAGAAGUGUGUGAUAGGCAGGCAGAAAAGGGGCGGCGGGGAGAUUACCUACAAGAAAGGAACGUUCAGAAAGUGGGGGCAGGUCCGGUGCCCUCGGACCCCCGUGAGUCCCGUGGGGUCUCUGUCCAGCGGCGCAGGGCUUGUCGGGGCUGAGCUGUGUUCAGUUUGUACGUGUUUCUGCGAAUCCCGCCUUUGCGCGCCUGGGAGCCUUCAGCUGUUACCCGGCCAUGUUGGCGGGAAAAGCGUAAAAAACGCUGAGUUUGCUUCCAGUGAGGCCUGCUAAGCAUUGGAGGAGAAGCCAUACUCAGAGGGUGGCCUCCAGGUGCCGUGUGUCUGCCAGGCUCCCACAGCCCCUAGGAUGGAAAAGCCUGGGUCCCACACAGCCAGGCUCCCUGCUCACACGUGGGACGGACUCAGAUGCCCCUUUACCCCUGUGGGGUUGGUGGGAAGUUCUAGAAGUGAGGCAGAGCCCCUGCCCUGGCCCCUCCCACAAGGGGGACUUUCACUGAGAUACCUGUGGACCUCCAUCAGUCCCCACCAUUCCACAGUGACUGGGACUCUCAGAGUGUACAGGACCACCACCUCAUGUGGACCGGAAUGAUCAGAUGAGCAGGGCCCCCCAGACUCAACUGACAAUACUGGAGUGAGGGUGGCCAUAAACAGAAUGCAAUCCGGCAACCCAAAUGAUGGCAUUUUGGCUUCUCCUUUCUGGAGAAGGGGCUUCAGCCAUUGUUUCAUAUCUAGUUAAUACAGAUGGUUCAAAUGGUAAACGCUAUGAUUUCUGCUGGUCCUCACUGGCCCAGGUCUGAUGCAGGUUAGAAAGAGGUUGGCAGGUGUUGGGCAACGGACCCCAGGUGUGAUUCCCGUGAGGCACAAUCGUGGAGAUGAGGUCACUAUAGCACUAGCACCCUGUUCUCACCCAGACGGAGACUCUUAGGCCCUGGCCUAAAGCAUUACACUCACAUACACAUUCCUGAACCUGCUGAAGGUCGGAGUGUUUUCUUCCCCCUUUAAAGGCAGAGGGGGUGGGAGAGCAGGAGCAAAGAGGGUGCUGUGGUGGCUUGGAGUUGGGAACCCCAGAAAGAUGUAUUGUUGAUCUUAACCAUUCCUGUGGGGUGAGCCCACUGUGAAUACGACCUUGUGAUGAAGUUGCUUCAUAAAGCUGUGGCCCCCCUUGAUCAAGGUGCAUCUUAGUGCUGGGACUGGAAGCCUUAUAGAGAAGGAGUAGCUAGGAACUGGCAGUCAACGGAACCCAGAAGAGAAAAGAGACGAUUCUGCCACGUGCAUUGCCAUGGGGUGGAAAAGCCAAGGAACACGAAGAUUGCCGGCCAACUAGAAGAUGCCGACCCCCAGGAGGAAGCAAGCCUUCUAGCCUCUGAAACCAUGUGCCAGUAACUUCCCAUUGUUAGGCUGACCCGUUGUGUGAUAUUUGUUUUAGGGAAACUAAUAUAGAUGCUUUGAUCUUGGUGGGUUCUAAAAGUGGGAUGAGAUUUCCAAUGAUGAUAGCAAAAGCUUAUUUAGUAUUUGCUCUGUGCCAGGCUCUUUACACAUAGUAAUCUGUUUAACCCACCUAACAACCCUGGGAAGUAGGCACCGUCACCCUUGCUGGCUUUGAAGAACAUUUGAGAAAUUGGGAUAUAGACUAAACUUUUGAUCAAUGUUAAAUUUCUUGAACUUGAUAACCAUACUUAAGGUAGUUGUGUAAGUGAAUAUCCUUGUUCUUAGGAAAUGUACAUGGAAGCUUUAAGUACAGUUCAUGGAGCAUGAUGUAUACAACCUACCCUCAAGUGUUCAGAGAAUGAAUAGAUGGAUCGAAUGAUACAGUAAGUGUGGCAAAAGUUAAAAUUGGUGGAUCUGGGUAUCUGAGGAGCAGGGAUAUGUUGGAGUCCUCUGUAUGGGGUUUGUAUUUUUUUUUUAACUGUAAGUUUGAACGUGUUUCAAAAUAAAAAGUUGAAAAAAAGAAAAAAAAAGGAAGGGGGCCAAGGCAUAGCCCCAUCAGUCCUGCUGUUCACCAACACGCCUCUCCCACACCCCCACUGGUGUUUAGCAGGUGGGAUAUUCACUUCCCUUGUACUGGGGGUUGAAGCAUGUCCUCCACAAAAGGCAUGUGUUCAGGUCCCAGCCCCUGGUUCGGCAGGUAUGAACCCAUUUGUAAAUUAGAUAUUAUUAGUCAAGGUAUGCCCAAACUGAAUGAGGGGGCCCCGUAAUCCAACCUGGCUGAAGUCCUUAUAAGCAAAGGAAAUUGGACACGGGAGAAGCCACAGGGAGCAGCCAGAAACUGGAAGUAAAUGGAACCUGAAAGAAAAAGGAGGAGACUCAGCCAUGUGCAAUGCCAUGGGAUGGAAAAUCCAGGGAACCCCAAGAUUGCCGGCCAACUAGAAGAUGCCGACCCCCGGGAGGAAGCAAGCCUUCUAGCCUCUGAAACCAUAAGCCAACAAAUUUCUGUUGUUAAGCCAACUCGUAUUGUAUUUGUUUUAGCAGCUGGGAAACAAACACCUUGUAACUAAUGGCUGCCCUCCUUAACAGACUUCAAGGGGUGCUGCCCACACUGGCAGGUGGAGUUUGGAAAUUUCUGUGGGCCUUGGGGGGUACAGACUGUGGCACUUGGCAUUAUGCCAUCCUCCCACUGCCCCCUCCCCUCACCAAGCGGAUGAUUUCUCUUAAGUUCCAGUUUCCUGGAAAGUCUCCUUCCCCAACUGUCCUGGCACCCACCAUGGGGGAGAAGUGAGGUGCUGCCCCAAGUCCCUCAUCUGUGGGGUCCUGGCAGCUCCUUGUAGGGCUGCACCCCAAAUCCUGCAUCUUGCUGGUCUUGGAUGGAUUUUCCUGGCUGGGGCCCAUCCCUGCCCCUGAGGCCUCCUAGAUCUCUGCUCAGAAUUUCCAAGCCUCUCUAAAGACCACCAGUGGGAAUCCCUCCUCCCCCAGUGAUAAGGACCUCUAUAAGUCCUUUUUGGAGUAUAAGAAGGUUCCUGGAAUCCGACUGGAGUUCUGCCUCAUUCCCUGGAACAUGUUCACUGAAGAUUGUGGCCUCCUUACUAGGGGGUUAUGAGAAGUCUUCUCCCAGUUCUGGGGAAGCUGUUUGUGCUUGUUUUUUCACUGCCCUGGUUUGCUCCCUUCCCUCCUGGGCAGAGCUGUCGCCCCCUUUCCACGUAAACUGCAGGGGAAAUGACCUCAGGAAUGGCCUAAAAAGCUGCUCUUCAGCCCCAGAAUCUGAAAUUGUAUUUUCUAGGCCCCCCUCCCCAGCGAAAAGCCCUGGUUUGUAGUGUUUGCCAAUUUCCGUGGUGUCAAUUCUCCCACCGUGGCUGGUUUCAAUGAAUGCAGAGCUGAGAAGAGAGCACGGCAUCCUCCCGGAGUGAGAGCCCCCCCCAGCCAUGGGAAAUUACAUGUGCAUCGUUACCCGCAGCCAGAAACACACACAAGUGGGAUCACACGGCACCUACACCUGGUGUUUGCGUUGCCCUUAACAACCUUUUCAGUAAGGUGAAGACAAGUCGGUAACAACAACCAGCAUGUGCUCCUCACACAGGACUAGAGAUUGGCGGGGAGAGAGAGGUUGUGGUAGGGAAGCUGAGAAGUCUAUGGCAAAAUGACCACUGGGAAACUAAAGGACAAGGGGAUUUAAGAAGCUAAUAGUGUGAUGUUUCUGAAGAAUAAAACUUUGAUUUAAAUAAA